GAUGAACGCUAGCUACAGGCUUAACACAUGCAAGUCGAGGGGCAGCACAGUGUAGUAAUACAUGGGUGGCGACCGGCGCACGGGUGCGUAACGCGUAUCCAACCUUCCCGUUACUCAGGGAUAGCCUUCCGAAAGGGAGAUUAAUACCUGAUGGUGUUCAAAUUCCGCAUGUUAUUUGAACUAAAGAUUUAUCGGUAACGGAUGGGGAUGCGUGACAUUAGGUAGAGGGCGGGGUAACGGCCCACCAUGCCUACGAUGUCUAGGGGUUCUGAGAGGAAGGUCCCCCACACUGGAACUGAGACACGGUCCAGACUCCUACGGGAGGCAGCAGUGAGGAAUAUUGGUCAAUGGUCGGAAGACUGAACCAGCCAAGUAGCGUGAAGGAUGAAGGUUCUAUGGAUUGUAAACUUCUUUUAUACGGGAAUAAAACGUCCCACGUGUGGGAUCUUGUAUGUACCGUAUGAAUAAGCAUCGGCUAACUCCGUGCCAGCCGCCGCUGUAUAC
rnacentral:rRNA from 1 species